GACGAACGCUGGCGGCGUGCUUAACACAUGCAGGUCGAACGGUGAAGCGCCUUCCUUUUUGGUGGGUGUGGAUGAGUGGCGAACGGGUGAGUAACACGUGAGUAACCUGCCCCCUUCUUCUGGAUAACCGCAUGAAAGUGUGGCUAAUACGGGAUAUUCUGGGUCUGUCGCAUGAUGGGUCUGGGAAAGAUAUUGUUUCGGUGGGGGAUGGGCUCGCGGCCUAUCAGCUUGUUGGUGGGGUGAUGGCCUACCAAGGCGGUGACGGGUAGCCGGCCUGAGAGGGUGGACGGUCACACUGGGACUGAGACACGGCCCAGACUCCUACGGGAGGCAGCAGUGGGGAAUAUUGCACAAUGGGCGCAAGCCUGAUGCAGCGACGCCGCGUGAGGGAUGGAGGCCUUCGGGUUGUGAACCUCUUUCGCCAGUGAAGCAGGCCUGCCUCGUUUGUGGGUGGGUUGACGGUAGCUGGAUAAGAAGCGCCGGCUAACUACG
rnacentral:rRNA from 1 species